AUGGAGGCGCUCGUGGUGCGGAAGCUCGGCGAUCCCACGCUGCCUCCCGGCGGCGAGGACUCGCCGUUUGCGGCGGUCUCCGGUGACCGACCAAUUCCGGAGCUGUCCUCGCCGACCUCCGUGCGGGUGCGCGUGGCGGCAACCAGCCUCAAUUUUGCGACGUUCCUACAAGUGCAGGGCAAGUACCAGGAGCGCCCCCCGCUGCCCUACGUCCCGGGGUCCGACUACGCCGGCGUCGUCGACGCCGUCGGCCCCGGCGUGCGCAGAUUCCGCCCCGGCGACCGCGUCUGCUCCCUCGCUAGCGUCGGGUCCUUCGCCGAGCUUGUCGUCGCCGACGAGAAGGCUCUAUACGCAGUCCCUGAUGGAUGUGACCUCGUCGCUGCUGGAGCAUUACCUGUUGCAUUUGGUACAUCACAUUUGGCCCUUGCCCACAGAGCUCAACUAAAGGCUGGUCAGGUGCUACUUGUACUUGGUGCUGCCGGCGGUGUUGGGGUAUCUGCUGUACAGAUAGGAAAAGUAUGCGGUGCUAUUGUUAUUGCAGUUGCCAGGGGAGUUGAGAAAUUGCAGUAUCUCAAGUCAAUAGGAGCCGAUCAUGUGAUUGACUCGAGCAAGGAGAAUGUUAUUGAAAGUGCCAAGUCCUUUUUAAAGGCUAGUGGUCUCAAAGGUGUCGAUGUUUUAUAUGACCCUGUUGGUGGCAAGCUUACUCAAGAUAGCUUGAAACUUCUCAAUUGGGGUGCACAUAUUCUGCUCAUUGGAUUUGCUAGUGGGGAUAUUCCAGUUAUUCGAGCUAACAUUGCACUUAUUAAGAACUGGACAAUUCAUGGUCUGUACUGGGGAAGCUACUUAACUCACCGGCCAGCAGUACUCAUCGACUCACUUAACGAACUCCUGUCAUGGCUUUCAAAGGGUUUGAUAACAGUUAAACUUUCACACACCUACAGGCUCGCUGAGGCCCAUCUCGCUUUUGCUGACUUGAGAGAUAGGAAAGCGGUCGGUAAAGUGAUGAUCGUUAUGGGCUCCUCAGCAAAAUCAAGACUUUGA
rnacentral:rRNA from 1 species